GCCUCUUGGGUCUCGGACUCAUUAAGAGUUAUACAAACGAACUCAUCCUACCGCUUGCUUUUAUGAGCACUAGUGCCAUAGGGAUGAGGAAAACAUGAAAUAGUGCUCCUCUUAGUCACACUCUGGUUUGUUUCUACCCAUUGAACCUUUUAAGGUUGGGUUUCCACCGUGGUGAUCUAUCUUUAUGGGCUAAGCCCCAUCCCCCUCGACGACUCUAGAACCACUGUUCUAGAUAAACCUUUUGUAAGCUGAUCAGCCAAAUUAUUUUCUGAUUUUACAAAAUUCAAGGCAAUUUUUUAAUUUAUAUCUUAAUGAUUUAUGACAUACUUUUAAGUGCCUGUUCAUUUUUACAUUAGCAUUUUCUUAGUUGCAUUUAUCUAUUGCAGAUUUACAGUCACAAUGUAAGAAGACAGGUGGUAAAGAUGACUCAUCUACAAGGAGGUCUAUUAGUAGAUCUCUGAGCCACUCAGCCUCAGUGCUAGUAGUGUCUAAAGCUAUCAGUUCAGACUCCAUGGUACUCCUAG
rnacentral:lncRNA from 1 species